rnacentral:lncRNA from 1 species
UUUAUCCAAGGCUGUUGAUACAAGGGACACGGUUAAUUAUCUCUUGCCAAACAUAAUAAACCUGUGCGAAGUCAUUCUCUGAGCAUUGCCUGGGUCAGGGUCUCAGAGUCUGCAUGGCAGUCACCAUUGUCUUGACUUGGGAAAGAAUCUGACCCCCGCAGAAGCAGAGCAGCAGCUAGGACCACAGGCCACAGGUGGGAUCUGUGAUGGGGAUCCCGACGGGGACUUUUGGAUCUUUAGGGGAUCAGUAGAAACCAGCUUGGUCAAGGGAUUUCUCAGCCAAGCAUCAAUGAAUCUUGAAUCUCAGCUGAUGACACUCCUGGGCAAAAUGGCUAUGAAACUGGAAAGAUGUCUAUGAAACACACAGUCCCUCAAGCCAGAAAAUGCACUUGACACAUCUGUGUCCCUUGAGGAACCUGAAGUUUUGGUGAAUCCAGAAAGCCAUGGAUGGCAGAACUGACCACAGAAAAAGAAACAGAGGCUCAGAAAGGUGAAGCCAAUUGCCUGAAGCCACACAGAAUAUCAGCUGGAGUCAGGAUUCUAACACCAUCCCAUGUAGCUGAUGCUAUCUACUGCCAGCCUGGAGCCAGGCUAAGAGGAAGAGAAAGAAGAAAAUGCCUGCAGAAACAUUCUAUGUAAAGAACACUUUGGGAUCAGAAAAAGAAGCGCGCCCGUGUUUCACUUGCAGCCUCACCCUGCACUAGGAAAUGCUAGGCCAAUGCAGAAAACUACAUCCUGCUUGGCAAGCCCUGCAGGACACACACACACACACACAAGCAUGUGCACACACACGUGGCCCUUCAACGUCACCUCAGCUGUGGGUUAGGAGCCACACCUGUCCACACCUGGUGUUACAACCAUCUGCUCCAUUUCAGGUAACCCUCCUUCCUCCACUGCACAAUCACUUAGAAACUGUAACUCUUCUUGGGCCCAGGUGCACAGGUAAAUUCGGAUCUUUCCCAAGGGAUCUCUGGGGCCUCGGGUCACAGCAGACCAGAACUUGACCUGGAGGCUGGUGUCCCCCAAACUGCUGUAUGGACCCUGCAACAGCUGGGGAGUCCUCGUCUCAACAGCCCUGCUGUCUCCCACUGAGGUCAUCUGCUGGCCCUCCUGGUGGCCCUGUGAGGAAGCCAGGAGUCACUGAUGCUGCUCUAUCGACGGCGACAGAUGGAUCACAGCUGAUAAGUGACUUGCCCAGAGUUUUGCAGCUUGGAACUCACAGAGCAGAAGCUGGGAAUCAGGUGGGGAAGCACCCAGCUCUCUGCUUCUCCUAAGCCAAGCUCUGCAGCGAGGUCCUGCUUCCCUCGGGACUCCUCUUUCAGCAUGACAUGAACUCAUUUUGAAUGUAAAGGCAAUGUCAAAGCCCUACAGCUAUUUAUACCAGAGCAUGUGUUUAUUAGCUCACUCUCCAGGGGGAAUAUUGCUGUUGUGAAUACACAACUACUCAUAACUACCGUCUUAAAAAUCUUCUCUACCCCAAAAUAUUUACUAAUGUAUUUAAGUAUUUAUUUUCUUGUAGUGAAAGGAAAUCAAGAUAAUUCUAAAAUUGUGGAAGAAAACAAAAAAAGUAUAAAGGAGAAAACAGAAGCUUCACAUAUUCUAACCAUUAUUAAUCUCAAAAUAUUUUAUUCCAGGUCCUUGUCUAUGGUCCAGGUCCUUGUCUAUGGUCCUAUAGCCUAUGCUGAGUGACACUGUGCUAUGUGUAUGCCAUUUGCACUCACCGUGGGGUCAUAAGCGUGCCAUUUCCUUUUUAUUAAAAAAAUACUUUGCAUACAUGAAAGUAUGUUUGCAUUAAAACUAUGCAAACAUCAGUUUUAAUAACUGUAUAAAUAUUCCAUCACAAGGACAUUCCAUAAUUUAUUUAAUCACUUUGGUAGUGUUGGACAUUUAAUUUUUUAAAAAGUCAAAUAAUGCCAGGAUUAAUGCCUGUUUAUAUGAACCAGUUUUCAUUUCCUGAUUAUUUUCUUCGGCCAGAUCCCCAAAAGUGGAAUUACUGAUAAAAGUAGGUGAGUGUUUUUAACACAUUUCUUCUUAUACACACACACACACACACACACACACACACACACCCAUCAACAAAUAGUUUUUCCUGGAAGGAACUUCCAGUAGUGUAUGAGAAAGCCUAUUGCACCACACCAUCCCCAGCAAUGAGAAUUACUACUGUAAAAAAAUCUUUGUUACAUUAAAUUUUUGGAGGACAUCUCAUUUUCUUGAUUGCAUUUGAUUAACUCAAAAUGUAUUUCUACAGGGUGGGGAACAUCACACACUGGGGCCUGUCGUGGGGUGGGGGGAUGGGGGAGGGAUAGCAUUAGGAGAAAUACCUAAUGUAAAUGACGAGUUAAUGGGUGCAGCAAAC